rnacentral:lncRNA from 1 species
UUGAAUAAUUUCAGAAUUCAGAACAUUAAUUCCAAGUGUUGAAUCACGUUUAUGGUUUGUGUACUGACAUAUGCCAUUGGACAGACAAGCGGUGAGUAUGAGAACAAGUUUGAUUGGUUUUGCAAUUGAUAUUAUCUGAAGCUUUGUUUGGUGUUCCACCCUUGUAAUUAAAUUUAAAUUCACUUUAGUUAGUUCAUCUCUCUGUGUGUUGUUUUGUUGGAAACCACUCACGAUCUGCAUUCAUGGCUUCCCAACGUCAUUAAAAAUGUUAUCUCAACAUAAUUCUCAAUGUAAUUUCGUCAACUUAAUAUCCCAACCCACGCACAACAACGGCGGUACAAGUACAACUGUAUGGGUGAAAAGAAAGUUUCUGCUUGAGCGGAGCAUUAAGUUUCACAUUGCUUAGAAAAUAGGAGGUUGAACACUUUAUAAGUGAGAAGACCCAUAAACCUAAUACCUUAAGAUUUUGGGAUUAAAGUGUGGUAUCCAAUUCAUUUAUGAGAUUGUUCUUAAACCCGAU